rnacentral:lncRNA from 1 species
UUUCAUCCAAUUCUUUAUGUGAUGAGCUGCCUCCAUUGUUAUGCUCAACCUCUAAUGAUAUUGACUUGGAAUGUCUUCUAUUGUGAUGCUCUGAUUUUUUAUCUUUACUAUCACCCGAUUUAUCUUUAGUGCGAUGCUUCCUUUCAACAGAUCUUGAUCUGUUUCUUUUAGUGUGAUGAUGCUUUGACCUAUCAGUUUUGAUUUUUUUUUCAUCCUCUCUUUCAUCAAUUU